rnacentral:rRNA from 1 species
GGGUGAGUAACACGUAGGGAACCUGCCCGCGCACCGGGAAUACGCUCUGGAAACGGAGAACAAAUCCCGAUGUACAGGAAGGAGGCAUCUUCUUUCUGUGAAACAUCCUUUAGGGGAUGGGGCGCGGAUGGACCUGCGGUGCAUUAGUUGGUUGGCGGGGUAAAGGCCCACCAAGACGAUGAUGCAUAGCCGGCCUGAGAGGGCGGACGGCCACAUUGGGACUGAGACACGGCCCAGACUCCUGCGGGAGGCAGCAGUAGGGAAUUUUCGUCAAUGGGCGCAAGCCUGAACGAGCGAUGCCGCGUGAGUGAAGAAGGCCUUCGGGUCGUAAAGCUCUGUUGCGGGGGAAAAAAGGCAGCAUCAGGAAAUGGGUGCUGACUGAUGGUGCCCCGCCAGAAAGUCACGGCUAACUACGUGCCAGCAGCCGCGGUAAUACGUAGGUGGCGAGCGUUAUCCGGAAUGAUUGGGCGUAAAGGGUGCGCAGGCGGUCCUGCAAGUCUGGAGUGAAACGCAUGAGCUCAACUCAUGCAUGGCUUUGGAAACUGGAGGACUGGAGAGCAGGAGAGGGCGGUGGAACUCCACGUGUAGCGGUAAAAUGCGUAGAUAUAUGGAAGAACACCAGUGGCGAAGGCGGCCGCCUGGCCUGUUGCUGACGCUGAGGCACGAAAGCGUGGGGAGCAAAUAGGAUUAGAUACCCUAGUAGUCCACGCCGUAAACGAUGAGGACCAAGUGUUGG